rnacentral:ncRNA from 1 species
AUCUCCAGUUUCGGGGGCCUCGGUACAGGCAGGCCGGGAUACCCCCUCUUUACUUCGCCAUCGCGCAAGUUUCGGGGACCCUGGUACAGGCAGGCCGGGACAUCCCCUCUUUUAUUCGUGCAGCCUCACCUGCACCCGCCAGCGCCCAUCGUCCUCUGCACCGGACCA